rnacentral:misc_RNA from 1 species
GAUGAAAGCAACAUAUUACCUGUGAAAAAAAAAUACAGUUGAACAUACAUAAUCUCUGAACUUGUCAACCUGAGAACAAUAAUUAAAAGUAACUAGGCAGAACCCAUUCACUCAACAUUUUUGUUUUAUUGCUGUAUGGUAAAGUUAUUACAAUCAAAGCCCUCUGUAGUAAUAUCGAAAUCCAACAUGAAUAAUAGGUUUUAAAGUUUGGGGGGUGGGGAGAGGAGAAGAGAAGAGGAGGAAGGAGUUGUUCAAACUUGAGAUCUCUUAUAGUAAAUCUCAAGCUUUUACCACUGAAACGUGCCCUUCCAAACAUCAUGAAUAUCAUAUGCAUAGGAAGUUGCGUCAGAAUUUAUUCACAAUUUCAAUAUAUCAUGCAACAGCCACUAAAAUUUAUUGCCUCGUCAUAGACAGCAAGCCCCUCAGUUAUUCCAGCAAUCGCUUGUGCUUGCACCAGGCAAUAGCAAUUACAUAUAGGAACACGCUCCCAGUACAGCUGCCCCCAACAGUCCAUAAAAACUUUUGCAUCCCAACCUCCGUCUCUUCAUUGAACAACUCAAUGUUGAUAUUCAUGCCAAAAACACCAGCAACAACAACAAAACAGCUGAUCACUAGGGUUGCUGUUGUUAACAUGACCCCCAUUUGGAGGAGAUGAUUCUGUUUGUCGUCCAGCAUUAUAUUGAUGUAGUCCUCUGUAUCAUCAACGUACUCCCUCAACUUCCAAGAUGCAACCAGGAAAACAUAAAACAGUGAUUAAUCAGUUGACUUGCAUCUAUAAACGGAGAAUUGACUACAAGAUUAGAAAUGAAUAUAGACACUGUUCAAUAUUUUGUUCAAAAUCACAGGCAGUCAUGCGCUUGAAUGCAUGAAAAGCCAAGUAAUAUGGACAAAGUUCAGUUUAGUUACAUUGUUGAGCCUAACGUGUCCGUAAAUCUAAUUCCAGGCAUUUUUGCUCCAAAAUUCCGGCAGUAACAAUUAGGAUUUUACACAAAGGGAAAUUGUUAAAUCCACAUAAUUCCAGUUUCUUAGAAGGGAACAUAAUAACAAGGGUGUGCAUAUAUGCAUAACAAGCUAGUAAUAAUCAAAAUUUAGAUAACUAUCAGAAGAACCAAGUGCAAUGAUUAAGCUGCUUACUGUUGAUAGUUUGUUCAGUGUACCAUCAAUUUGAACAAAGUAUGCCUCCAAUAGCAUUUCCAGCUCCUCUACAUCAAGGUGCUUGCUUAUAGCACUUCGAGUGGUACUGGUAUGGGUCCCAUGGCUGCCCCUACUAAGCAAAUGAGGAGCACUAAACAGAUGAUCCUGUGGGUUGUCAGCAUUGUGAAUAUCACCGUCACCACUAGUGGAAGCCCCAUGAGCAUCCAACGAAACUUCAGCAGGUAUCCUGACUCAACAAAAUGAGAAAUCCAAGGGAAAAAACAGUAACUUGGAGAAAAAUGAUUGUGUAAUCAAAGUGACGAUGAAAUUAAUAGGUACCUGUCAUCCAAGUCUGCUGGAAGAUAUUCAUCAUCCAUGUAAUCUCUCUCAUUUAAAGAGGUAGAGGAAGAAUUUUCUAGGUGCUGAACCAACUUUUCAGUUAGAUACAUCUCAGCCAUAUCUUCAUCAUCAUCCAACAAGUGUUCCAAUUCAUCCCUAACCUAGAGAUGAAUGCGCAUACAUAACUUUUGCAAUAAUAAGGUUAUUAUUCAUAACAGCCUAUCACAGAACACUAUAAAUGAACAAUAAAAAAACUAGCAAACCUUUUGAACACGGCCAGUUAUUGCAACCAAACGACUCUUAAUUUGCCGGACUCGCUCUAAAUUGAGGGUGCUGAUUUUUGAAGUCAGCUUAUCCAGUGCUGGAUGAGCCUCUUGCUCCAGUGUUUUUGCCUGGUUAGGUUAUGGAAAACAAAAAAAACCCUUGUGAAAGAAGCUAUAAAGAUACCAAAAAGCUGUCAAACUAGAACAUAUAAAUGCUCACUUCAUUUUCUAAGCAACCGCAAGCAGCCUCAAGACAUGCCUCCAAUGCAACAAAUUCAAAUGGAAGAACAUUAGAUCCAUCUCGAUUUUCAAGCCCUGGUUUCCCAUCUACCUUACAUCCCUCAUCUUGAUCCUGAGAGUGUCGAAAGCCUCCUGGAAAAUUUUUAUGAUUUUCCCUUGAUUGAGGCUCUUCAGGGUCAUACAAAUUUUUCCAGUUUGAAAAAUCACCAUUUCCCUCCUGAGCUUUUGCAGCGUUAUAAUGACAUAAAAGCCUCCUCUGCAAUUCCUCAACAAACGGUGUAACAGAGGGGUCCCUGGAAUUCAGCAAAAGAAUCUCCUGGGCUGUAAUUAUUGCCUUGAUAUGCUCCAAAUUGAUGACGAUAGCUCUCUCUCGACCCAAAAUUGUAGAUGGGUACGAGAGUAGCGGGUCGAGGAUCCGGAGGUCACGAGCAGGCAAUCCGGUGCGGCGCAUGAUGGCAUGCUUACUCACCUCCACAACCUGGGCCUGGCCGGUGUGGUGAAGGAGAAGCCAGGCCCGAACACCGAUUCCUUUCUUGCGGACAGUGGGGAGGACGGCUGCGGCUGCUUGUCGGUUUAAUGGGUCGGUGUCGUCAUCGAGUUGGGAGUCGGUGGGUUUGGAUAGAGGCAGAGGGUAAGACCUCAUCGUCUUGGUCGGAGUCUGCGCACGGGGAAGGGUGGAGAGUGGAUGUGGAGUAGUCCACACUGGUACAUAGCAAGAAUCCUCAUCGUCUUGGUAAGAGUCCACGAAAGGGCAGAUCAUUGAAUGCGCAUUUGCACGUGCCAGUGUGGACU